rnacentral:rRNA from 1 species
UACAGAGGGUGCGAGCGUUGUUCGGAAUUACUGGGCGUAAAGCGCGCGCAGGCGGCUUUUUAAGUCUGCUGGUGAAAUGCCGGGGCUCAACCCCGUGCCCGCCACAGAUACUGGGAAGCUGGAGACGAGUAGAGGCAAGCGGAAUUCCGGGUGUAGCGGUGGAAUGCGUAGAGAUCCGGAAGAACACCGGAGGCGAAGGCGGCUUGCUGGGCUCGGUCUGACGCUGAGGCGCGAAAGCGUGGGGAGCGAACAGG